rnacentral:rRNA from 1 species
GACGCCGGCGGUUCGCCGCCGGUGACGUUGUGAGAAGUUCAUUAAACCUUAUCAUUUAGAGGAAGGAGAAGUCGUAACAAGGUUUCCGUAGGUGAACCUGCGGAAGGAUCAUUGCACACACGAGUUGCAGCCAACCCGCGGCGAACGAACACAUUGUCCCCCUCGGCGGGUCGUGGCGCCUCGCGGCGUUGCGGCCGGCCGGCUCCCUUCGCCACGCGCGAGCGGGUUCCUCGUGAGCUCCCUCGCGACGCGGCGUCGGGUUCACACCAGAUGUAUUCACCUUGACCGAAUGACUGAGUCCCGAAAACACUUUUACUUAAAAACUUGGAGAGGGAGUGGGUGCGAACUCGCUCCCUCUUCGAGUUGAGUUGAGUUGUGGUGUGGAAACAUAACCAAAACAACUCUCAGCAACGGAUAUCUUGGCUCUUGCAACGAUGAAGAACGCAGCGAAAUGCGAUACGUAGUGUGAAUUGCAGAAUUCCGCGAAUCAUCGAGUCUUUGAACGCAAGUUGCGCCCGAGGCUUGUCCGAGGGCAUUUCCGCUAGAGCGUCACCGCGCCCCCCACCAACCCACUCCCGCCGGGAGUCGGGUCGAGUGAAAGUGGCCGUCCCAGCGUCGGGCUUCGCGGCCUGACGGAGGGUCGGCUGAAAUGGAAGGAAUCGGGCCGCCGUGGUGACACAGUCCGCGAUCGGGUGAUCCGCGCUCCCGGAAUUUUUUCGGGAGCCCGGAAUUUUUCUAAGUGCGUGGCUGCGUCCCCAGUUGGCUCCGGUUACCCCUUGCAGGUCGAGCGCGCCGCGGCGCGCGUCACGUCACGCAUCAAACCUCUAAUCGGAAAAACUACCCCU